GGAAAUCUCACCAGGCCCGGACACUGGAAGGAUUGACAGAUUGAUAGCUCUUUCUCGAUUCGGUGGGUGGUGGUGCAUGGCCGUUCUUAGUUGGUGGAGCGAUCUGUCUGGUUAAUUCCGAUAACGAACGAGACCCCAACCUGCUAACUAGCCCUCGGGUCCUGCUUCUGUUGGGCCCGACGGAAUGAUUCGCUUCUUAGAGGGACUCGCGGCGCCUAGCCGCACGAAGGGGGGCGAUAA
rnacentral:rRNA from 1 species